CGGGUUUUUUCCAAAAAUAAGUUCGAUACAGUGGGCCAAAUCUGGUCGAACAAGUUGGUUUAUUUUUGAUUAGGGUUGGGUUUUUUAAAUGUAUUUUUGCUCAAAUCACACCAUAACAAAAGUUCUAAAAUCAACUGUAACACAACAUUGCUGCUUUGGUAGAAAUUUUCAUGGAUUAUGAUAGAAAUCCAUGAAAAUUUCAAAACCACGCCACAAGGAGUUCGAGGGAAAGAAAUGAUCGACUACAUUCCGAGCAUACCUCGGAAGCGUAACACCUACUGCAGAGGUGUCUAAAACUUAAUACAUAAAUACAUAAUACAUAAACACAUCAUAAUAAACUCAAAGCCAACGAAUCUUGGCAAAAAUAUCUUUACGCCAACGAAUUAUGGCAAAGAUUUAACUAAAACUAAAGACGAAACUCAACGCCAACAUAUCUUGGCAGAUGAUGUCGAUCUAUACCAGCAGACCUGGCAAAAAUUUCCUCGAAUCCUGAACCAAACGUCUGAAAAACUUUCACCCAAGCAGCAAAACAAGCAUUUAAAAUCAUGUAGAGGAUAAUAGUUAUCCGGCAAAUGAGCCAUCCUGCAAAUGUACUAAAAGUGUCUAGAACAGUGCGCAGCCAAUUUAGUACAAGCCCAUCGAAUGUUUUUAUGCGUGUUGUUUUGCUUUCUUAUUCGUAUCAGUGGAAUCCAUAGAAUCCGUAAAAUCUGUUUUCAACUCUUAAAUCAGCAGAAAAGUCGACUUUGUUAGGUACGGUACGGUUCGGUACGCGAUUAAAAACUUGUCUUUUCCGUAAAACUAGCGCGAUUGCCUCUUAAAAUUUAAUUUUUUAAAGCAAUUCUAGUCGUUCGUAACAUUGCUGGUUCAAAAAAGUUUGCGCAUUUCAGCCGGAAGAACGGCUAUUGAAGGACCAUCAGCUGUGCCAAGACUCGAAGCGAAAAAUCGAAACCAAAGUGAGAAAGAACUUUAACAAACAUUGGUACGUAUUUUGGCGAGGAAUUGAUUGAUAAGGCUGCCGCUUAAAAAUUGCAACGGAGCUGAAAUAACAACUGGCCGAAAUCCAAGAAAAUGUAGAGACCAACACGUUGGUCCACAGAGAAGUUGACCGAAGAAAUGGAUGCUCUCAGGAAUGAAUGCUCGAUUCACUGGAAACCACUGCAGCUAAACAAGGGUCUCGUUCCAAGCAUGAGGUGGAAGUGGUCACUGGAAGCCCUGGAAGAGGCAACUGUCUACCACGAUGAUCAAAUGUCGUAUAUGCGACGAUUAAUGAGCAACUGGAGGAUCUCGAAACGGUAAAAGUCGGGCUGGACAAGGACAAACACACCCUAGAAACCGAAAAUGCUGAUUUGGCCAACGUGAACCAAUCCCGACCGGAAAACGACCGACGUCGGAGCACGAAUUUCUGAACGGCAGGUGAAACUGGCUGAAAUGGAACGGGCUCAGGCUUCGGCUGCUAUCAAGAGUGCAGUAAAAUGUAAAGCCAGCUGCCGGAAGCACAAUAACGUUUGGAGGAAGAAACUUGCCAGAAGUUAGCCCUCAGCUCGAAGCUUAGCCAGUUGGAAAGGAAAAAGUUCUUCACUCCAGAAGUACCUGGAAGAGGAGGCCCCAGCUGAAGGAUUCAAAUUGGAAGCGAAAGAUCCUGGAGCUGUUUAAAAAUGUCAAAAGUACCGAAUGCGAUAUGCAUUUUCAAGCAUAGGUUGUAUAGUUUAAAAUUUCGAGCUCUGAAUAUUUUGUUGCUGUCAAUUCAAAUAUGUGGUCAUGGAAAGACGAAAGAUACAAACAAGUUUUAGAAAUCAAGAUUCAUACACACUUUUUGAAAUCAAAGGAAACACAAAACCAAUUUAUUAAUAACCUUCUAAAAUGUGAAAAAGAUUGAGUAUAGAUGUUUGUAAAUUUAUUUUGAAAUUAAAACAAAAUAUUAAGAUUAGGUUUUUUAACAUUUUAGUAGGAAUUUUUUCCGAAAACGACUUACCAUUUGCGAAACUAAUUUGUCAGAUAUAGUCUAUCACCUCUAGUUUGUGUGAUAUAAGAAAAGGAUUCUGAAAAACUUCAUUAUGCUACAGUUCAUUUUGCCUACAGAUAUUUUAAUUCAAUUCAGAAAAUAGAAUAAAUUCUACAGUUUUGAAAAAAAAAAAACGAAAGAUAUCAUUACAGGUAUAUCUGUCAUAACUAAUGGAAGCAAAAAAAAGAUUUAUUUGAAUGAACAAAUUCGCCCGCAAAA